GCUUAACACAUGCAAGUCGAGCGAGAAUCGUUUUGCUGAAGGCUUCGGUCUGACGCAGAAUGAGGAAAGCGGCGAUCGGGUGAGUAACGCGUGGGCAACCUGGCCUUAAGAAAAGGAUAGCCCCCGGAAACGGGGAGUAAUACUUUAUGAGAAUAGAAAAGGGCAUCCUAUUUCUACUCAAAGCGCAAGCGCUUAAGGAUGGGCCCGCGUAUCAUUAGCUAGUUGGUGAGAUAACAGCCCACCAAGGCAACGAUGAUUAGCCGGUCUGAGAGGGCGAACGGCCACAUUGGAACUGAAAGACGGUCCAAACUCCUACGGGAGGCAGCAGUGGGGAAUAUUGCGCAAUGGAGAAGAACUCUGACGCAGCAAUACCGCGUGAGCGAAGAAGGUCUUCGGAUCGUAAAGCUCUGUUAUCAGGGAAGAAGAAAAUGACGGUACCUGAUGAGCAAGUCCCGGCUAACUACGUGCCAGCAGCCGCGGUAACAC
rnacentral:rRNA from 1 species